GACGAACGCUGGCGGCGUGCUUAACACAUGCAAGUCGAACGGAAAGGCCUGCUUUCCCCUGUGGAUUGCGGGUACUCGAGUGGCGAACGGGUGAGUAACACGUGAGUGAUCUGCCCCCAACUUGGGUAUAAGCCUGGGAAACUGGGUCUAAUUCCCGGUAGGACUGCAGGGUGGUGCCUGUGGUGGAAAACGAUUUUCUAGUGGUUGGGGAUGAGCUCGCGGCCUAUCAGCUUGUUGGUGGGGUAAUGGCCUACCAAGGCGGCGACGGGUAGCCGGCCUGAGAGGGUGGACGGCCACAUUGGGACUGAGAUACGGCCCAGACUCCUACGGGAGGCAGCAGUGGGGAAUAUUACACAAUGGGCGGAAGCCUGAUGCAGCGACGCCGCGUGGGGGAUGACGGCCUUCGGGUUGUAAACUCCUUUCGACCGCGAGGAAGCCACCUGGUUGGAAGGGUGGUGACGGUAGUGGUAGAAGAAGCACCGGCUAACUACGUG
rnacentral:rRNA from 1 species